rnacentral:rRNA from 1 species
GACGAACGCUGGCGGCGUGCUUAACACAUGCAAGUCGAACGGAAAGGCCCUGCUUGCAGGGUACUCGAGUGGCGAACGGGUGAGUAACACGUGGGUGAUCUGCCCUGCACUUCGGGAUAAGCCUGGGAAACUGGGUCUAAUACCGGAUAGGAGCCAUUUUUAGUGUGAUGGUUGGAAAGUUUUUUCGGUGUAGGAUGAGCUCGCGGCCUAUCAGCUUGUUGGUGGGGUAAUGGCCUACCAAGGCGGCGACGGGUAGCCGGCCUGAGAGGGUGGACGGCCACAUUGGGACUGAGAUACGGCCCAGACUCCUACGGGAGGCAGCAGUGGGAAAUAUUGCACAAUGAGCGCAAGCCUGAUGCAGCGACGCCGCGUGGGGGAUGACGGCCUUCGGGUUGUAAACUCCUUUCGCUAGGGACGAAGCUUUUUGUGACGGUACCUAGAUAAGAAGCACCGGCUAACUACGU